rnacentral:miRNA from 1 species
CAAUGACAAUAAAGGUAUUAGUAUGAGCUUUCGUGUGCAUGCACACUUCUUCAGUAUUUGAAGAAGUGUGCAUGCACAUGAAAGCUCAUACCAAUAACAAACUUAGUUGG